rnacentral:rRNA from 1 species
UGCAAGUCGAACGAGCGAGAGAGAGCUUGCUUUCUCGAGCGAGUGGCGAACGGGUGAGUAACGCGUGAGGAACCUGCCUCAAAGAGGGGGACAACAGUUGGAAACGACUGCUAAUACCGCAUAAGCCCACAGCUCGGCAUCGAGCAGAGGGAAAAGGAGCAAUCCGCUUUGAGAUGGCCUCGCGUCCGAUUAGCUAGUUGGUGAGGUAAUGGCCCACCAAGGCGACGAUCGGUAGCCGGACUGAGAGGUUGAACGGCCACAUUGGGACUGAGACACGGCCCAGACUCCUACGGGAGGCAGCAGUGGGGAAUAUUGCACAAUGGGGGAAACCCUGAUGCAGCGACGCCGCGUGGAGGAAGAAGGUCUUCGGAUUGUAAACUCCUGUUGUUGAGGAAGAUAAUGACGGUACUCAACAAGGAAGUGACGGCUAACUACGUGCCAGCAGCCGCGGUAAAACGUAGGUCACAAGCGUUGUCCGGAAUUACUGGGUGUAAAGGGAGCGCAGGCGGGAAGACAAGUUGGAAGUGAAAUCUAUGGGCUCAACCCAUAAACUGCUUUCAAAACUGUUUUUCUUGAGUAGUGCAGAGGUAGGCGGAAUUCCCGGUGUAGCGGUGGAAUGCGUAGAUAUCGGGAGGAACACCAGUGGCGAAGGCGGCCUACUGGGCACCAACUGACGCUGAGGCUCGAAAGUGUGGGUAGCAAACAGGAUUAGAUACCCUGGUAGUCCACACCGUAAACGAUGAUUACUAGGUGUUGGAGGAUUGACCCCUUCAGUGCCGCAGUUAACACAAUAAGUAAUCCACCUGGGGAGUACGACCGCAAGGUUGAAACUCAAAGGAAUUGACGGGGGCCCGCACAAGCAGUGGAGUAUGUGGUUUAAUUCGACGCAACGCGAAGAACCUUACCAAGUCUUGACAUCCCUUGACGAACAUAGAAAUAUGUUUUCUCUUCGGA